CCCUUAGAUGUUCUGGGCCGCACGCGCGCUACACUGAGUGGAUCAGCGGGUCUGGUUGCGCGAAAGCGUUUCCUAAUCUUUAAAUCCGCUCGUGAUGGGGAUUGACGGUUGCAAUUUUCUGUCAUGAACGAGGAAUACCUUGUAAGCGCGGGUCAUCAUCCCGCGCUGAAUACGUCCCUGCCCUUUGUACACACCGCCCGUCGCUCCUAACGAUUGAGUGGUCCGGUGAGGCUUUGGGAUCUGAGCGGAAAGAGCGUUUCGCUGUUUCUGCUCGGAAAACUCAGUCGAACCUUAUCAUUUAGAGGAAGGAGAAGUCGUAACA
rnacentral:rRNA from 1 species